rnacentral:lncRNA from 1 species
GUUGGGUAGAAAUGCUAGUACAGCUGAGGUUGAGAAACACCAGAGAGAAACCCAGCCUUUAUGAAAACCCACUGCUGGAAGGAAAGAAGCAGAGGAAACCAAGGCUCUCCCCACCUCUGGCUGCCGGUGCCUCACUCUGCCUGGAACCCUGGAACAGGACCUGGGUGUCCAGUCCCCCUGGCACUUCUUUGGCAUGUUUUUACCCAGAAUGUGGCCCUCACCAGAAACCAAGCAGAUGCUAUGCCUGCUUCUCCUGCUUCCAGCCUGCAGAACUGACCCUGAUGGUGGAUGCUAUAGAUUCCUCCAGCCUCCCUCUGCAUGCCAGCCUGGAGGCUUCCAACUGCAAACACCUAUGA